AGAGUUUGAUCCUGGCUCAGGAUGAACGCUGGCGGCGUGCUUAACACAUGCAAGUCGAACGAAGCACUUUAUUUGAUUUCCUUCGGGACUGAUUAUUUUGUGACUGAGUGGCGGACGGGUGAGUAACGCGUGGGUAACCUGCCUUGUACAGGGGGAUAACAGUUGGAAACGGCUGCUAAUACCGCAUAAGCGCACGGCAUCGCAUGAUGCAGUGUGAAAAACUCCGGUGGUAUAAGAUGGACCCGCGUUGGAUUAGCUAGUUGGUGAGGCAACGGCCCACCAAGGCGACGAUCCAUAGCCGACCUGAGAGGGUGACCGGCCACAUUGGGACUGAGACACGGCCCAAACUCCUACGGGAGGCAGCAGUGGGGAAUAUUGCACAAUGGGCGAAAGCCUGAUGCAGCGACGCCGCGUGAGCGAAGAAGUAUUUCGGUAUGUAAAGCUCUAUCAGCAGGGAAGAUAAUGACGGUACCUGACUAAGAAGCACCGGCUAAAUACGUGCCAGCAGCCGCGGUAAUACGUAUGGUGCAAGCGUUAUCCGGAUUUACUGGGUGUAAAGGGAGCGCAGGCGGUGCGGCAAGUCUGAUGUGAAAGCCCGGGGCUCAACCCCGGUACUGCAUUGGAAACUGUCGUACUAGAGUGUCGGAGGGGUAAGCGGAAUUCCUAGUGUAGCGGUGAAAUGCGUAGAUAUUAGGAGGAACACCAGUGGCGAAGGCGGCUUACUGGACGAUAACUGACGCUGAGGCUCGAAAGCGUGGGGAGCAAACAGGAUUAGAUACCCUGGUAGUCCACGCCGUAAACG
rnacentral:rRNA from 1 species